CCUACGGGAGGCAGCAGUGAGGAAUAUUGGUCAAUGGGAGAGAUCCUGAACCAGCCAAGCCGCGUGAGGGAAGACGGCCCUAUGGGUUGUAAACCUCUUUUGUCGGAGAACAAAACCCGGGACGUGUCCCGGACUGCGUGUAUCCGAAGAAAAAGCAUCGGCUAACUCCGUGCCAGCAGCCGCGGUAAUACGGAGGAUGCGAGCGUUAUCCGGAUUUAUUGGGUUUAAGGGGUGCGUAGGCGGUCCGUUAAGUCAGCGGUAAAAUUGCGGGGAUAAACCCCGUCGAGCCGUUGAAACUGGCAGACUUGAGUUGGCGAGAAGUACGCGGAAUUCCUAGUGUAGCGGUGAAAUGCGUAGAUAUUAGGAAGAACACCAGUGGCGAAGGCGGCUUUCUGGACUGAAACUGACGCUGAGGCACGAAAGCGUGGGGAGCGAACAGGAUUAGAUACCCUUGUAGUC
rnacentral:rRNA from 1 species